rnacentral:rRNA from 1 species
CCUACGGGUGGCUGCAGUAGGGAAUUUUUCGCAAUGGGCGAAAGCCUGACGCAGCAACGCCGCGUGCUCGAGACGCCCUUUGGGGUGUAAAGAUCCGUCAGUGGGGACGAAACUUGACGGUAACCACAGAGGAAGCACCGGCUAACUCCGUGCCAGCAGCCGCGGUCAUACGGGGGGUGCAAGCGUUGUCCGGAAUCAUUGGGCGUAAAGAGUUCGUAGGCGGCCCGUAAAGGAUGGAGUUAAAGGCAGCGGCUCAACUUCUGUACGGCACUGGAUAAUUGCUAGCUCGCAGGCGGUAGGGGUAAAGGGAAGUCCUGGUGGAGGGGGGAAAUGCUU